CAGCUCGGUUAACACCAAGCAGCAACCUCCGAGGUCUGAAAAGUGAAGCCAACACAGAAGUACCAAAACUGCAGUUCUUCGAAUGGCCGCUUUAGUCUGGCUCCAACAGUGAGUCAGUCCCCAUAAACUUGAUGUGCAUUAAUAUCACUGACCGCGGUGAUGGUGUUGAGGGCCGUGUCAGCGCCGAUGCUGAAGUCGGAGCCAGGGACGUUGUUGGAGACGGUGGCGGGGAUAACCACCAUGGGAAUGCACAUCUCCUCAUAUUUCUCCCUGGCCUGAACCAGCUCCAGGCCUCCCACGUAGGCCUGCAACGGGGCACAAGGAGAAGAAUGGCUGUCCUGUUUUUACCUCAAAUCCACCGAUGAUCACCAAAGCGUGGAUGUUGAACUUGGCGAUGUUCUGGCUGAUUUCCUCCAGUAUUUUAGCCGGCAGAGUUCUUUAUUAAACAGAG